rnacentral:rRNA from 1 species
GUUCAGCAGGGCGGCGUGCUUACACAUGCAAGUCGAACGGUGAAGCAGAGCUUGCUCUGUGGAUCAGUGGCGAACGGGUGAGUAACACGUGAGCAAUCUGCCCCUGACUCUGGGAUAAGCGCUGGAAACGGCGUCUAAUACCGGAUACGAGCUGCGACCGCAUGGUCAGUAGCUGGAAAGAAUUUCGGUCAGGGAUGAGCUCGCGGCCUAUCAGCUUGUUGGUGAGGUAAUGGCUCACCAAGGCGUCGACGGGUAGCCGGCCUGAGAGGGUGACCGGCCACACUGGGACUGAGACACGGCCCAGACUCCUACGGGAGGCAGCAGUGGGGAAUAUUGCACAAUGGGCGAAAGCCUGAUGCAGCAACGCCGCGUGAGGGAUGACGGCCUUCGGGUUGUAAACCUCUUUUAGCAGGGAAGAAGCGAAAGUGACGGUACCUGCAGAAAAAGCGCCGGCUAACUACGUGCCAGCAGCCGCGGUAAUACGUAGGGCGCAAGCGUUAUCCGGAAUUAUUGGGCGUAAAGAGCUCGUAGGCGGUCUGUCGCGUCUGCUGUGAAAACCCGAGGCUCAACCUCGGGCCUGCAGUGGGUACGGGCAGACUAGAGUGCGGUAGGGGAGAUUGGAAUUCCUGGUGUAGCGGUGGAAUGCGCAGAUAUCAGGAGGAACACCGAUGGCGAAGGCAGAUCUCUGGGCCGUAACUGACGCUGAGGAGCGAAAGGGUGGGGAGCAAACAGGCUUAGAUACCCUGGUAGUCCACCCCGUAAACGUUGGGAACUAGUUGUGGGGUCCAUUCCACGGAUUCCGUGACGCAGCUAACGCAUUAAGUUCCCCGCCUGGGGAGUACGGCCGCAAGGCUAAAACUCAAAGGAAUUGACGGGGACCCGCACAAGCGGCGGAGCAUGCGGAUUAAUUCGAUGCAACGCGAAGAACCUUACCAAGGCUUGACAUAUAGAGGAAACGUCUGGAAACAGUCGCCCCGCAAGGUCUCUAUACAGGUGGUGCAUGGUUGUCGUCAGCUCGUGUCGUGAGAUGUUGGGUUAAGUCCCGCAACGAGCGCAACCCUCGUUCUAUGUUGCCAGCACGUAAUGGUGGGAACUCAUGGGAUACUGCCGGGGUCAACUCGGAGGAAGGUGGGGAUGACGUCAAAUCAUCAUGCCCCUUAUGUCUUGGGCUUCACGCAUGCUACAAUGGCCGGUACAAAGGGCUGCAAUACCGUGAGGUGGAGCGAAUCCCAAAAAGCCGGUCCCAGUUCGGAUUGAGGUCUGCAACUCGACCUCAUGAAGUCGGAGUCGCUAGUAAUCGCAGAUCAGCAACGCUGCGGUGAAUACGUUCCCGGGUCUUGUACACACCGCCCGUCAAGUCAUGAAAGUCGGUAACACCUGAAGCGCGGUGGCCCAACCCUUGUGGAGGGAGCCGUCGAAUGGUGGAUCGUAUUAGGUUGCCG